GUAACUGUCAUUGUGCUGUGCUGUUCUGAGUACAUGCCUAGAAAGAGCGGGACAUGUUGACUAUGUAGGUUACUUCCCAGCUCCAGGGCUCUCUAUCCAAACCGGCCCGAUCAGCAGGUGGCCAACAGAAACUAUCAAAUCUGCAUUAACACUCAAACACUGCCGGCCCUCCCUGGGGUGGCUUUGGAGGGCCAAGAUAUGACAGCGCUGCAGGAUUUUUCUUUCCCCGACAGCGCACGGCUAAUUGUCACCGGCAAUCCCUGGGAAAAUCCCAGCCUGAAUAGUAAAAGGGUUUCCAGGUUCCGCAUCCAUAGGCAGCAGGUUUAGAGCUUAGCCAUGCAUUCAAGACUCUCCGCGAAGUAGGAACGAUGCCGGUCGGAGCUCACAAAGGUCCGACCUCAAAGCAUCAAAACAAAAAGCGAUAACCGUGGGGAACUAAUGUUAGUUUGGUUUUAUGAUGUAUUAAAUCGUUCCCUCAUUUCAUUAGCGUAAUUGCGUAAUUUCCCAAGUCAUUUUUGAACGCUUUGAGAAAAAGAGAUCAAAUUCAACAAAUUCAACAAACAAACUUUUUACAAAUUCUAAUGAGCGUCAUUAUACACAGAUUUUCGCUAUCCGCAAUCCGGUCUGGGCCCUAUGCCCCGCAAAUAGCGGCGUUCCACUGUCCAUCAAUUUUGCCCGUUUCCAAGCCAGAGGUCUGAAAUUUCCCACUUUUUCUGGAAUCCAGCAUUAGCCGAAGCCCUCUGUCUUAUGACUUCGCUUCCAGCCCGGAUGGAGGGGGAGGCGGCGAGGGGAUGUUUUUCAAGAAUGCGUGUGCAUCCAUCACCGUGACCGUAUAAGGAAACGGCCGGGACGCCGCUGGAAGGAACAUGUCAGGAAUCGUUUACGUGUGCGCUCCCCCGGCUCGCACUGUGAGGACACACAAGUUGCCGCAAAAGGUUAAACGGCUGUUUUGAUGGGCCGCAUCCUCUGCGUACAAAGAGGACCGACCGCUCCCGACGAUGACAGCCGAAAUCGGCACUCACGAGUCGGUCAUAUGCUUGGAUCAGGCUCGCUCACACGGUUGCCCCCGGUAUUGUCUUCCCCCGCUGCGCAUCUUCCGCGGACCACCGACUCGCCGAUCUGUUGAUCACCGGGAAGCGGCGCUCAAAUCGCGUCCAAGUCUCACCCCAGCUACGUGACUGUUCCCUAUUCUGUCCUCGCCAUCACCUACAGGACAGCAGAGGCCGACGCGGCUUAUAGGGUGUCAUGAUGGGGGUGUAUAGUCAGUGUCGAGCGAUAGACUGAGCCGAUCCGACACCCUCUGAAGUCCUGCGAAGGCGUCAAGACAAGUCCGUCCAUCCAUCAACAUCACGUGCGUUCAGAUACUGUAAAACUCUUUGGUAGACAUCCCAGGUACAUGGACAGUAGCUCUGUAGCUUGUAUAUCAAAGGACUCCAAACAAAGUAUCAAUAUUUAUAUGUACAUUGCAAGUCAUGUCGCUUCAGUGUCUUCUCUGCCAUGUCGCAUCAGUCUCUUUUUUUUUCUUCUUGACUUUGGCUUGGUCCCCGCCUGCCUCUGUACAUUCGUCGGCCUAUCCAUCAGUCACGGCCCACACAGUGUCGCGAGCGGACACGCUGAUCUCCCCAAACAUCGCCGGAAACGCGACCUCGCGCCGCGACUCCUCGGUCGAAAGGUUUUUGGCCGGAUAAGAGCUGCUGUCCAGCUUCCAUUGGCAAAUAUUUUGAGCUUUUUUUUGUGUUUAUGUCUAAUGGGCGGAUAUCAUUUCUUUGUGCGAUGUAAACCAAAUGAAAUGAAAAUUGCUGUGUUCAUGUACUGUAAGGUCAGAAGUUGUGAAAUUGAAUCCAGAUCCCAUGUAGCAACUUCGAUGGGCUUGACCAAUCCUUGUCAUUUUGAUUUCUUAUGUGUGAUUUUUGUAUCUUUUUUUUUUUUUUUUUUUUUAAUGUGGAACGAAACGUUAUCUUGUAGAUUUGAUGUGGGGAAAAUACUACAGAGAUACCCUAAUUGGCAACAACUCUGCAGUUAAAAUGUUGAUAUACAGUGAACCCGCGCCUAUUUGUGUUUGUUAUUCACAAAUUCAUCUAUUGGCGGGUUUGCUGAAAAAUUCAACCAUUUGCAGCUUUCGGGUGCAUUGUGCUCUUUUUGUAAUACCCUAAGAUGCCACAAAAGCCCUGACUAAUAGGAAAGUAGUAAUUGGUGUCAGGAAGUACAUCUCGACUGUUUAAGAUAUUUAUAUGUCAGGGAGAAGCUAUGUUUUGUCUGGGUUGUUAAGGAGAGUCUUUGCAGCAUGUGUAUGGCUUUGAUUUGCAGAAUGACUAUUAAAAAGCUGUAAGAUAUUUUUAAGGGUAAUCCUGCAAGAGGAGUUUGAAAUGGUGUUUUGGGAUCAGAGUGUGUGGUAUAACUACAUCUUAAACUAUUAAUAUAGGUAAGUAAAUAAGUACAAAUAUUUUUUUGGGGGUGGCGGCAGGGCUUGGUCCCUAUCCCCCGUGGGGUUUAGUGUAAUGUCAUUGCAUGGAUAUCUAAACUCAACAAACUGGCAUCAAGUGUGGGAUUUUCUUGAGUAAAAACGAAAAAAAUGAAACAAAGUUCAAACACAGAUUUUUUUUUUAUUAUUGUUAUUCAAAUUAACAUGUUUUUAAAAGCGUUUUCAGUUGUUUUGUGUAUUCUACAACAAUAUUCUGUACAUAUAGAAAAUAAAAGGACAUACAAAAUGAUGAAUGCAUAUCAGAAUGUCCAUGGACUUGUGGAUUUUUUUUUUUUUUUUUUUAAAAGAAAUAAAGAGGCUGAGCCGCAUUCUAGUUGCA